CUUCUUUAUCACCGAGUGCUUGCACUCACCGAUAAAGAGUUGAGUGGCGAACGGGUGAGUAACACGUGGGCAACCUGCCCAAAAGAGGGGGAUAACACUUGGAAACAGGUGCUAAUACCGCAUAACCAUAGUUACCGCAUGGUAACUAUGUAAAAGGUGGCUAUGCUACCGCUUUUGGAUGGGCCCGCGGCGCAUUAGCUAGUUGGUGGGGUAAAGGCUUACCAAGGCGAUGAUGCGUAGCCGAACUGAGAGGUUGAUCGGCCACAUUGGGACUGAGACACGGCCCAAACUCCUACGGGAGGCAGCAGUAGGGAAUCUUCCACAAUGGGCGAAAGCCUGAUGGAGCAACGCCGCGUGGGUGAAGAAGGUCUUCGGAUCGUAAAACCCUGUUGUUAGAGAAGAAAGUGCGUGAGAGUAACUGUUCACGUUUCGACGGUAUCUAACCAGAAAGCCACGGCUAACUACGUGCCAGCAGCCGCGGUAAUACGUAGGUGGCAAGCGUUAUCCGGAUUUAUUGGGCGUAAAGGGAACGCAGGCGGUUGCUUAGGUCUGAUGUGAAAGCCUUCGGCUUAACCGAAGAAGUGCAUCGGAAACCGGGCAACUUGAGUGCAGAAGAGGACAGUGGAACUCCAUGUGUAGCGGUGGAAUGCGUAGAUAUAUGGAAGAACACCAGUGGCGAAGGCGGCUGUCUGGUCUGCAACUGA
rnacentral:rRNA from 1 species